rnacentral:lncRNA from 1 species
UCCUCUGGGAGCCGGGCAAUAGAGUUAUGACUAUAUUGCUUAAUUCCAAAAGAGUUGUUUACAUCGGUUUAUAAAAUCUCGAUAACUUGGACUCUGAAGAUAACUUGGACUCUAAGAUAACUUGGACACUAAGAUAACUAAGAUAACUUGGGCUAAGCCUGUAACUAAUCCUGCCCAUUGGGCCUCCUCCUUUGGUACGUAGUACCGGUCAUAACAUCUCUCCCCGCCUGCGCAAACAACUCGUCCUCGAGCUGUAAGUCUGGAUAGUGCUGACUGAAUUCGUCACGCUGCUCCCAAGUCGCGUCGUCCUUUGGAAGGCCUUCCCACUGGAUCAACAGGUACCACACCCCUCGACGUAGUUGGGCCCGCAACACCUUUGCUGGCCCGGGAAGGAGGCGUCCGUCGGAGGUCGGGGGUAGUGCCGGCGUGGCUUCCCACGGAAAGGCUUCAAGAGCCCCACAUGGAAGACGUCGUGGAUGCGAGCACCGGCCGAAGACGGUAGGCCACCUUUCCGAUGCGCUGCAGCACGGAAAAUGGCCCGGCGUAGCGCGGGCCCAGCUUGCGCGUCGCACGCGGGUCAAGGGACUGUGUAGAACGGUGAAGGAGACGUAGCCACACCCAAUCGCCUACCGCGAACUCCGCCUCGCGGUGGUGGUCGUCAUAGUGGUGUUUGGCCAAUUGCUGGGCCUGAACGAGUCGUUGGCGCACCUCGGCAAGCAUCUCGUCGUGGCUGCGAAGAAGGUCACCCGCCGCUUCCGUCCUAGCCGUCUCCGGGUCAAUCGGUAGGAUGGGCGGGGGCGGUCGGCCAUAGACCACCUCGAACGGCAUGGCACGCAUGGCAGAGUGAUAAGAGGUGUUGUAGCAGUACUCCGCCCACGCAAGCCAGUCCACCCAAGCACGAGGACGAUCACCUGUAACACAAUGCAAAUACAUGGCAAUCACCUUGUUGACCACCUCGGAUUGACCGUCCGUCUGAGGAUGGAACGCCGUGCUCAAGCGGAGCUUCACGCCCGCCAUCCUGAAGAGAUCGCGCCAGACAUGCCCCGUGAACACCGGGUCCCGGUCGUUGACGAUCGAUGAGGGAAACCCGCGUAGGCGAACGAUGCUGUCGAAGAAGGUCCGGGCCACGGAGGUGGCGGUGUAAGGAUGGCCAAGCGCGAUGAAGUGGGCGUACUUGGAGAAGCGAUCGACCACUGUGAGGAUGAUGGACUUGCUGCCACCUUGGGGAGGCCCUCAAUGAAGUUCAUGGAGAUGUCGGCCCAGACCUGAGAAGGCACCUCCAAGGGCUGUAGCAGCCCUGCCGGUCGCCGUGUCUCCGUCUUGUUACGCUGGCACGUCGCACAAGACCGCACCUAUUCUCGAACCAGGGCCCGAUCGCCGGGGAUGUAGAAGUCGGCACGGAGACGGUGGAGGGUCUUCUGCACACCCUCGUGGCUGUUAGGAAGUAUUAGUAUUAGUCUAGGAGUCCUUAUUAGUCUAUUAGUAUUAGUCUAGGAGUCCUUAUUAGUCUAUGUUUACUUUCCUUGCACCUCAAGUCUUGUGUAAUAUAUAUAUGCCCCUUGGGCCUUCAAUAAACAUAAGUUGCUUUCCUAACAUGGUAUUAGAGCCUUAGGUUAUUUUUUCGCACGCGCAACUCGUGCUCCGAUCCUUCUCCACGCAGCCGAUGUUCGUCUAGCUGCUGCUCCCGAUCUCCUCCUGCUGCAGCUCUCGUUCUCGUCCUGCUGCUGUGCCGCCAGACCAAAUUCCCGCUCCAGCCCCGGCUGGAUCCCGUCUCGCCCUACUGAAUCCAUCGCCUCGAUUGGAUCCCGUCUUCCUACUCCAGAUCGCGGUAGGCUCCUUCCUGUCAGCCGUGCUUCUGCUCCGUUGACUCCCUGGCUGCUUUGUUCAGAUUCGCAGGCGUCCCGUCAGCCGUGCUCGUGAUCUGGCCGUUGGACUCGAUCUGCUGUCCUCCAGCCGGAUCCCGUCGCCGGUCGCCGUCUCUCGUGAUCUUCAGUCGGAUAAAGUUGCCGGCCGCCGUGUUCCACCGCUUCCAGCCGGAUCUUGCAGCAGAUCGCGGUGUCUCGUCUCCAACAGGAUUAGGCAACGAACAAGGAUCUAGUACGGGUGUUGUUGCUUCCAUCUGCGGCUGGUUUGCCUUGAGUACGGGUGUUGUUGACUAUCUCUCGCAGCAGCUAUCUCGCUCUGGAGGCCGCUGCUGCUUGGACUUGAUCUGGUGAUUCCCGUUGGACUGCUUGAUCUGUACCUACCGGAUCUCGAUCUGGACCGAUCCUCUAAAAAAAAGUCUACUGCAUCGGGCUAUGUUGCUGUCCCUCGUUGUUCGGUGAUCUUCGAUGGUAGUAACUACACUGAGUUCGUUGGCUUCAUGCGCAUCCACAUGCGUGGCAUCCGUCUCUGGGGUGUUCUUUCUGGCAAGGUCUGCUGUCCGCCACGUACGGUUCCUCCGGUGGCUCCCACUCCGCCGAUCCCUCCGGCUCUUCCUGCGGAUGCUCCUCAGACUGCGAAGGAUGCAGCUAAGGUUGCUGAUGAGGCUGCUAUCCGUGCUUAUGAUGAGAAGGUUUUGGCUUAUGAGGAGGCUCUUCAGGUGUAUCAUGGUGCUCUGUCCGUUUACACCCAGUGGCUUGAUGAUGAUGCUCGUGCUGCCGCUGUUCUCACUGCUAGUGUUCUGCCUCAGUUUGCUUCUGAGUUUCUGGGCCUUCCUACUGUAUUUGAGAUGUGGACCCGCCUUCGUCAGCGCUAUGAGCCCUCUGGUGAUGCCUUAUACCUCUCUGUGGUCCGUCAGGAGCAUGCUCUUCAGCAGGGUGACUCUACUGUUGAUGAUUUCUAUGCACAGAGUUCUGCUAUCUGGCGCCAACUUGACUCUCUCCGCAGUGCUGGUUGUCGUACUCACCCCUGUUGCCAGGCUGUCCAGGCCAACUUGGAGUUUCAUCGCGUCUACGAGUUCCUGUCUCGACUCCGUAAGGAGUUUGAGCCCCGGCGUGCUCAGUUGUUUGCUCGUGGCCGUAUUUCUCUCAUGGAGGCGCUUUUUGAGAUUCGUGCUGAGGAGACUCGCUUACGUGGUGCUGGUUUGCUGGAGGUUCCCUCGGUGCUCGCUGCUCGGACUCUUUCUACGCCACCUGCUGCACCAACACCUUCUCGCUCGAGUGCUCCGCCGCUCUUGCCCACUCCUUUUGGAGGCUCAGGUCGCCCCCGUCCACAUUGUGGCUACUGCAACAAUGAUGGUCAUAUUGAGUCCCACUGCUACACGAAGAAGAAACACUUGUGCCAGGCGCGAUCAUCAUCUACAGAGACUUCGUCAUCUACCUCGACAGCUUCAGCCAUCGCUUUGACUGAGCAGGAUAUUCUGCGACUUAAGCGUCUGCUCGCUGCUUCAGGUUCUUCCUCGACGGGUACUGCUGGUUUUGUGACUGAGGCUUCCCACACAGAGCAACCACCUUCUACAUAGUCAGGACCGUCUCACGCACACUCUGGUUGGAAUUGGCCUUCGCCUCCAUGAUAUUAUUUUUUCUCUUCCGUUGCCAUCAUCCCUAAUCUAGUGUGUGUUUUCUAGUUUUCUUUGUUUUCUGCUGCGUCCACCAAAUCCGUUGAUAUUUUGUGUUUCUCAUGCCAUGCGAGUCCACCAUACCGUAGUCCGUCAGCCUUUCUCCGGUCCUGAUCCUUUCUAUGCAACUUUUGUGGCCUACUUGCCCUUGUUGUUUUCUAUAGGAUUUUCUGGACUUCUUUUGCAUUGUCGAUCUACGUCCAUCGUGCCUUAUCCGCCGAGCUUCUUUCGCCGACGGUUGUCGUGGACUAUGAUUUUCCUCGCAAUGUUUUAUUAUCUUCAUGUGCCAUCUUCUUUUGACAACCCAUAUUCUCUUGAACUUAUGUUGUAUCUUCAAGUGAUGCGGUGUCUUCCUCUGAUGUGCCAUCUCUUCGGUAUCUUCGUCUUGAUGUGCCAUCUUCUUUUGACAACCCAUCUUUUCUUGAUACUUAUCUUGUAUCUUCAAGUGAUGCGGUGUCUACCUCUGAUGUGCCAUCUCUUCGUUCUCUCCUUCGGCGACUCGACAAGUUUUGAAGACCCUUCAUGCUACGACGACACUCUCAAGACGCGGAUUUGGAUUAUCAUUGUUUUUUUAGUAUUACACUUCUUCAAAUGCAAUGCUAUUGCAUACGCUUUGCCUUUGAGGGGGGUGUUAGGAAGUAUUAGUAUUAGUCUAGGAGUCCUUAUUAGUCUAUUAGUAUUAGUCUAGGAGUCCUUAUUAGUCUAUGUUUACUUUCCUUGCACCUCAAGUCUUGUGUAAUAUAUAUAUGCCCCUUGGGCCUUCAAUAAACACAAGUUGCUUUCCUAACAGUGGCCCGCCGAGUGGGCCAGCAGCAACACCUGAUGACGGAGGUCCCCGUGAUCCGACACGAAGAGGCAUCGCCCAUGUAGGAGCAGGCCCUCCGCCAAACGCCACGACUCCUCCAGGUCACCGGCAUCAAGAUGCUGCCGAAGGGACUGCGCGUUAGGCGUGUCCGUGGUGGCCCGGCAGAUGUCGUCGAAGAGGGCAAACGAGGGCCCUGAGUGGAUGCAGAGGGCCGCCCCGUCGGAGUCGCCCGCGUCAGCAUCGUGGUCGUCGCGGCGGGACAGGGCGUCGACCACUGUGUUAAGGCGGCCCGGACGAUACUUGACGGUGAAAUCGAAGCCAAAGAGCUUGUUGAUCCACUGGUGCUGCGGCACGGUAGACAACCUCUGGUCCAAUAGGAACUUGAGGCUGUAAUGAUCCGUGCGAAUCUGGAACGACCGCCCCCAAAGAUAUGGCCGCCAGUGGCGUACGACCUGCACCAAACGAAUGAGCUCCCUCUCAUAGGCUGCGAGCUUGUGAUGGCGCGCGGCGAAAGGCCUGCUGGAAAACGCGAGGGGCCCGUCGCCCUGAUGAAGGACGGUGCUGAAUCCCACGCCGGAGGCGUCGCAGUCGACCAUGAACGGUCGAUCAAAGUCGGGCAUCUGAAGGACGGGACCCGUCGUAAGGGCUCGUUUGAGGGCCUCGAACGCCUCUGUGGCCUCCGCAUCCCAAGCGAAGGCCUCGCGUUGGAGCAGGCGCGUGAGCGGGGAUGCGAUGAGGCCGAAUUCUCGGAUAAAUUCCCGGUAGUAGCCUGCGAGGUCCAAGAAGCCGCGGAGAGCCCGCGGGCAGUGCGGCGUCGGCCAGGCCGCAACGGCCGCCACCUUGUCGGCGUCCAUAGCAACACCCUCGGCCGAGAUGACGUGGCCGAGGUAGGUGACGGAAGGCGUCCCGUACGAGCACUUCGAGCGCUUAAGAUGAAGAUGGUGCGCUCGAAGCUCGUUGAAGACGAUGGCAACGUGCUGAAGAUGUUCCGCCCAGGUCGUGCUGUAGAUAAGAAUGUCAUCAAAGAAAACGAGCACAAACCGAUGCAAGUAGGGCCGGAGGACGUCGUUCAUCAAGGCCUGAAAAGUCGCCGGAGCGUGGAGAGGCCAAAAGGCAUCACCAAGAACUCGAAGUGGCCGUGAUGAGUCCGAAAUGCCGUCUUCGCGACAUCGUCAGGGUGCAUCCGCACCUGGUGGUAGCCCGAACGGAAGUCGAGCUUGGUGAAGAAGCACGCCCCAUGUAGUUCGUCCAAGAGCUCGUCGACGACCGGAAUGGGAAAUCUGUCUUUGAGCGUCUGGGCAUUAAGAGCGCGGUAGUCGAUGCAGAAGCGCCACGAGCCGUCCGACUUGCGGACGAGGAGGGCCGGUGCCGAAAACGGUGAAGUGGAGAUCCGGAUGAUGCCCAGGGCUAGCAUGAGCGCGCACUGCCGCUCCAGCUCCUCCUUCUGCAGCUGGGGGUGGCGCCGUGCCUGGUAGGAGAUGGAUGCGGUGGUCAUACACCCGGGCCGGCGGCAGACCCUGAGGCUCGUCGAAGAGGUCGUUGUGCUGCUGCAGGAGAUGGUCCAACAGAGGGUGCGCGGACUCGGCAGCAGUCGCGGCCAGCUGCGGCUGUGGCGUCGCUGGUGGGGUGCCACCCGCGCCCUCCCACCGGACGCGGCGACCCAGGUGCCAGAAGGUCAUUGUCAUGGUGUCGAAGUCCCAGAGAAUGGGACCCAGGGUCCGCAAGAAGUCGACGCCGAGGAUGAAGUCGAGAAGCAGCCCAAGUCGAUGCCAGCGCAUGUGAUGGUGAAGUGUUCGUCGCCGAUGGUGAUGGGGACGUCCCGUGCGAGCCCAUGACAUCGGAGACGGUUGCCGUUAGCCACGGUGACCCGCAGCUGCUCCCAGCCCGUCAGCCGAAGUGCCAAGCGGCGCAUGGUCGACUCGGGCAUGAAGUUAUGUGUGGAGCCCGUAUCCAGAAGGGCCAGGAGGCACUCGCCGUGGAUCAUCAUCGGGAGGAGCAUAGUCUUCUCCGCUCGUAUACCGGCGAGGGCAUGGAGGGGGAGACCAUGAGAGCUGUCGCCGGUGCCGGUGUGAUCUCCGCGGCAGCUGGUGCGGCCAAGUCGCCGAGCACGUCGGCGGGCGUGUCCUCCUGGACAUAGUCGGCCGCCUCCAAGUAGAAGAGGCACGGGCAGGCGUGGCCCGACAUGUAGGGCUCGUCGAGUUAAAGCACAACCCCUGGUGACGGCGCUCGAUCUGCUCGGCCGGGGUGAGCCGACGGAAGGGCCGCGUCGAGGCCAAAGUGGUAGUCGCAGGAGGGACCGGGGCCGGACGGCCCGACACAGCUGUAGUUUGGGGAAGCCGGGUCAGUUGUCGGCCACUUCGUGCCGGCGCCGCCUGCUGCAAGGUCUGUGCGCGACGCUCGAAGGCGCGGGCAUAGUACAUGGCCGUCUGGAGGUCCUGGCCCCCCCCGAAGCUCCACGUCCACGCGGAUGUGAUUCGGCAGACCACCGACGAAGAGCUCGGCCCGCUGCUGAGCCGUCACGCCUGGCACGCCAGGGCCUGGAACCGGUCGGCGAAGUCCUGUACCGUGGAGGUGAAGGGCAGUCGGCCGAGCUCCGCCAGCCGGCUCCCUUGUAUCGGAGGUCCGAAGCGAAGGAGACAUAGCUCGUGGAAGCGUUCCCAUGAGGGCAUGGUGCCCUCGUCAUAAUACCAUGUCUGUGCGGCGCCUCAGAGGUGAUAUGAGGCGAGCCAAGUGCGGUCUGACGCGAGUGUGCGUUGCCGUCGGAAGAACUGCUCACAUUGAUUGAGCCGGUUGAGGGGGUCCUCCGUACCGUCGUAGGUGGCAAAGUCAAUCUUGGCGAAGCGCGGCGGUGUCUGAGUAAGACUGUCGUGUCCGUACGGCUCGGUGAUGCGGAGCAAGGUUGACGGUGUCGGGUCGAUGGCCACCGGGGGUCCCCCGCGGAAAGACGGCCCGUCGCGGCUGGCGUAGGGGCCCACGGAGCUUGAGGGCCCCCCGUACUGCAUAGCGGUAGCCGGCUGCUCCGACGCCAUCGUGUAGACCGGCGGCGGAACGGACUCGGCCAACCAGGCCAGAAGUGGGGACGGUGAGGGCGGGAACCGGACCUGCUGGAUCGGGACGCCUGCUGGUGUUGUGAAGGCGGCCUGGAGCUGAACUGCGGCGGCCCCGGCAGCUGCAGCGGCUGCUGGAAGGGGGUGGCGGGCGCGGCCGACGCCGCAAGCGCCUGAGUCGGCCAGGGCGACCAAGGCGGAGUGGUGGCUGCUGCCAUGGGAGCAGCUGCAGCCCGGUGGCGGGGGCCGGCAGCGCCGCCGGUGGCGGACCGUAGGGGCCGGCCAGAUAAAGGCGGAUCCCCUGGACCGCGGUGGCGAGGUCGCGGAGGGACCCCGUGACCUCCUCCGGGGUGUAGAUGACAGGGGCCGGGGCGGCAGUGGUAGCCGGCGCGGCGGUGGCAGCCGCCGUACCCAACGGCGCGGUGGAGAGGGCUUGCAGCGGGGUGGUGGUGACGAUCGGGAGGGUGGAGGCAGGCGGGAGGGUGGUGGCGGCCGGUGAGGAUGACAUGAUCGGCCUGGAGUCUCUAGAUACCAAAUUGGUAGGAACCGCAAGGAUUCUACCGGGUCUAGGGCGGAGGUUGUAGGGGAUGAAGCGGAGCUGGCGAGGGUUGGAGCGCGGUGGCCGGCGGCGGGGCGCCGUUGCGCGCGCGAGGGAGGCGGCGGCGAUGGAAGGCGGCGGCGCAGCUAGGGUUCCGACUCCUCUGGGAGCAGGGCAAUAGAGUUAUGACUAUAUUGCUUAAUUCCAAAAGAGUUGUUUACAUCGGUUUAUAUAAUCUCGAUAACUUGGACUCUAAGAUAACUUGGACACUAAGAUAACUUUGGCUAAGCUCGUAACUAACCCUGCCCAUUGGGCCCCUCCUCCUUUGGUACUUAGUACCGGUCAUAAGAGCAUCUCCAAGAGCAUACCCAUAUUUUGGGUAGCCAAAACCAUUAUGGGUAGAGGAGAGAUAAGGUUUAGGUAUCCAAAAUUUUUUCUACUUUUCAAGCUUACCCAUAUUUGGAUACCCAAAACUUGAUAGCCCAUUCUUUGUGCUUCUAGUUCUAUUUGUGCACGAGCUUGGCGCCGCAUGAGCUCGCCGCUGCCGGCCGAGGCGGGGUGGAGGUCCUGGAGGCGGGGCGGAGGUCCAGGAGGCAUGCUGGAGGUCGGGGAGGCGGAGGGAGAGUCGCCGGCGCCGAGAAUCGGCCGCCCCGCGCCGGGCGGCGGGGCCUCGAUGCGGCGGAUGGGCGGCUCGAUGUGGCGGCGGCCGUGCUCGCCGGUGGCCGGAGGAGGGAGGCGGGGGUCAGGGAGGGGUCGGAGACGUCGCGAACGGAGCGCCGAUGGCCGGAGGGGGCGGCGGCGGCGCGGCGGCGGGGUCGUGGAGGCGGCGGUGCGGAAGUUUCCGCUCGGGCAGUUGGCUACUCCGGCGCUGAUUUUGGGUCGGAUGGGUAUUUGCCCCCAAAGACCCAAAUAUGCCAAUUCUGAGCUAAAUUUUGGGUAGUGACCCAAAAAAAUUUGUGUGGGGACCAGUUUUGGGUAUGCUCUUGGAGCUGGUUUUUUGCCCCCAAUACCCAAAAAAGCAGUUUUUAGGUAUUGAGAGCAAAUAUGGGUAUGCUCUUGGAGAAUGCUCUAACACCUAUAUGUUUAAUUAUGUCAUACUUGUGGUCUCUUCUCUCCAACGUUGUUACGAAAAUUAUAAUGCUCUGUAGUCACUAAACUGCAUCUUAAGAAUCUUGUAUUUGUAUUCAUGUACUUUACGGAUGCAUGGAUGCAUAAGAGUUCAGUCCAAGCUCUUGUUUGUUCGUUGAAUUCAGGUUACGCAGUGUGAAUACGCAGUGUUAAUCAUUUGGCCUGUUCUAAAGUUUCCACCUUGAUUACAGGUUGUCGAUGCAUGUGCUCGUGCUCUUAGAAUGAUAUAUCAAUCAAAACAAGCUCCAAUGUUAGAUGUCAAUAAUGAGAAAAAUAUGGACUUUCUUCUUUCCCUUUUGGACAGCGAGAACGAAAAUGUUACUGAGCUGGCUGCUAAUAUUAUAUCAUACUCUUGCGAUGACAAUACAGAACAAUUAGCACUAUGUGGUGCUGGAGUUCCACAGAAACUUGUUAGUCUUUUUGGAGGUUCUAUGAAUCUACGGGAUGCUUGUUUAGAAUCUAUGACUGCAGUCAUAAGAAAUAACUGGGAAGUUGCUUCAAGGUUUGCAUCAAUGGAUCAUGGAAAAGCUUUCCGUUCAAUAGUUGGGUUAAUGCACGAUCGGAGCCCGCGCACAAGGCUACUUGCUUGUCUGUGCUUGAUUGCACUUGGUCAUGCUUCUCCCUGUCAUUUUCCGGACAGACAAAUUAAAACGAAGUUGAUUCUGGUCUUACUUGAGCUCAUCGAAGAACCUGGUCAUGUGGGAGAUGAGGCUCCCUUGGCACUAACUACUCUUAUAAAGGACAGUGUGGAACUGCAGAAACAAGCCUUUUCAACAAAUGCAGUUGCGAAGCUUAGCAACCAUUUGUUAGCAAAUACAUUGGAGACAAGGCGGGCAGUGACCAUAUUGCUUGCUUUAGCUGAACUUUGCUCCAAGCAAGAAGAGUCGAGAUCUCAACUUAUGUCAGGCCAGGUAUGUGAAGCUUCUGCAAGAUAGUACUUCUGAUUAAUGCGCUGCUUACCUGUUGAGUUUUUAAUUGAGGUUCUGUGGAGACCUGUUAUAGUGCAAAUUCCUGAUAAGAUAAUACACUGAUUCUUGACAUUUGACCUGAAAAAAGUGGAUGAGUAUGAUGACCCACUGACCCAAUAUUUGUAUCUAAUAAUAUAAUUCGCUUAACAGGUAUCAACCUUGAUACUUGAUGCGUUGAAGCAUGAUUGCGCGGAUAUUCGUGUUGCAGCAUGUUCAUGCCUGAAGAAUAUUUCUAGGUCAUCGAAGGUAAGCUGCAUGCUUCUUUACAUCUCAAUCUUUUGUGUUCACCCAAAUGAUUCAGUUAAUGUGGUUAAUUUGCAGGUGCUUAGUGCAGGCCGCUUAUCCUGUGAUACAGUUAUUGCCCCCUUAGUCCAGCUUUUGUAUGACUCAUCUACUUCAGUUCAGGUAAUGUGAAUCAGGCAAUCUUCUCUGGCAUUUUCCCAAACUGGAUUUUUACUUGGUUGCACUUCAAAUCUCCCUUGAUUCUUCUAGAGGGCUGGUGCUUGAGUGUGUGGGUUUUAUCAAAGAUGAUUGAUAUGUAAUGCUUGGGGUGUUAAUUUAUCUGUUUGUAUGAAAAUCUUGCCCUCUUUGAGAUUGUUGAUGAACUUUUACUUUAUUUGCACUCAUCAAAGUACCCUAAGGAAGAAGUACCAGUAAUGGUUAUGCUGUAGAACUACACAGCAUGUAAGUAGUCAAUUCUAUAACAACAAUUUUAAUGCCUGUGGGUUAACUUAGGAGGUAUACCAUUUGUAAUUUCUAAUUUGUAAUGCCCUAGCACUUUCUGGCUUCAUCGAUGGAGGGUUUGAUCAUCGGAGCCAACACUAUAUUGGUGUCAAUUAGCUAUGUUGUGGCUGAAAAGGUUCUUAAGACAUCAGGAGUUGAUACUUGAUGAUAGUGUCUACUUGUCUCACCUAUGUACUAUCUUUGUCACAGAUUGCUGCCCUGGGUGCUAUUUGCAACAUUGCAGUGAAUUUAACACCCAGGAAAUCAGUUCUUCUUCAUUCUGGGGUCGUCUCCCAACUUGUUCAUUUAUCAAAGUCGAUGGAUCCAGCAUUGAGACUAAAAUCUGUGUUGGCUCUUAGGAAUAUUAUGUUCCUUAUGAAACCGAAGGAUAAAGACCUCAUUCUGAAGGAGCUAACCGUAUCUACUCUCUCAAGCCUCAUAUGUGGUACGUGUAGAUGCCAAGAUAUGAUACUUGGCAACUGCUAAAUUAGUUUCACUGCUAAUUGCAACUUGUUCUGCAGAUUCUGAACAUUCUGUUCAGGAACAGACCUUGGCGCUGGUACAGAAUCUUCUUGAUGGAUAUGUGGACUCUGUUAACUACGUCAUUGGUGAAGAUGGCAUGGUUAUAAAUGCAAUCUCAAGACAAUUGAACAGUGCAUCUGCCACAGGAGUUUGCAUCCAGGUCAGUUUCCCUUAAACUGCAGUAUAGUUGGUUACUUUAUUUGCAUUUCCUAUAUUUAUUCUACCACAUGCGUAAUUUUGUAUCACAUUUUGUUUUUUUAAAUGUGUGCUUCUAUGGGAUAUUAGUUCAUAGAGAAAGCAAAUAUCAUUGUACAAUGAAUUAUCGAUCUUUCAGUUUCUUCUCUUCAGGGUAUGUUGGUGCUUGCAAAUAUGGCAGCUGGGGAUGAAUUAAACAAGGAAGCUGUAAUGGAUGUUACUGUUCCUCACCGAGCAGAUCGCAUGAAACCAUCUUUUGUGGUCAACUUUCUGCAGAGCAAGGAUAAACAAUUGAGAGUUGCAACCUUGUGGUGCAUUCUGAACUUAAUUUACCCAAACAGUGAUUCUUCAUCUACUCGAGUAGCCCGAUUCCAAAAUGCUGGUGUAAUUUCACAAGUAAAAAACAUGAUAAAUGACCCCUGCUUGGAUUGCAAGGUACUGCUUUCCCUUCUUAAUCUUGAGAUAAUGCAUAUUCUUAUUUUUGAGCGAGUGCCACGAUCACUUGUAGUAGCUAUUUAGCUGUUGAUUCCCUUCAUAUUUGCGACUGCUGACUCGGUUGGGAGCCUUAUCCUUAGUUCAUUGUUGUCUACUACUAGGAUGCAUGGUAUAUUGUUGAGGACAAAAUGCUUCGCUAAAAGCUACUCCUGCAAUCUUAGAUGCACAGAUUUAGCUAUAAGAAUCUUAAAUGAACCAACAAAAUGCCCUCCCAAAAAAAUGGGUACACAAAUGGUUGGCAGAUGGUAAAUAUUUGUGGACAGAUGAUGUUCUUGAAGCUAACCCCAGAACAUUAUUUAGCGUUCAGCUGACUCCUCAAGAUGCUCUUUGUUGUGCAGCUUAGAGUACGCAUGGUGCUUGAGCACUGCUUAGACAAUGCCGUGUCCGGUUUCAUGUGAUGGGUCGGCAAGCCAUUGAAGUUUACGGAACACCAUACACCAUACAACAAUCGGGCAAAGGAAAGCUGGGCAUGCUUGGCACCGCGAUGCAUGCUAUGAGCGUGAAGUCAUUACUAGUCUGUCCUUGUAUUGAGCACAUCACUGUAAUUUUUCCUCACGAGAACUCGAUGACAACUGGUUUCUGUUGCGGAAAGGCUGGCAAGCCCCUUGUUGUAAGUUUGUAAGCAUCCCACUUGGAGAACAUGAGUUCGUGAGUAUGCCACCUUGAGAACCUGAGCUGCUUGCUUGCGACCUGAAGGUGAUAUCCACCAGGUCCAGAAAAUCCCAUUUUGUAGUGCCACAAGAACCUUUGGUUGUGUUGUGAUGAAGAGUUUAUAAUCGAUCCACCGCUGUUGCUGUUGUAAAUUGCAGUUUUCUUUUGCAAUAAUCUGUCUGUUUUAUAGCCUGAUGUGGCCCGUCUUUUCGAAUUGGGUGAUGUUUGUCGCUUGAUUUACCUGCUCCCUCAACUUGGUAUGCGGCAGCUACUUUAUGGGCCUUUUUGGUUUUACACCUAACAAUGCCAAACUUUGCCACACAAUGUUGUCACAUUUGACUAAGGUCAGUUUUUUUUUUUUUUUUUUAAAUGAGAGCCACAAGUUGACGAGUCUAAAGGAAUUUUGUCACACUUUUCGUGUAUAUGUGAUGUGAGAUCCUAGUAUGGCUUGUUUAAGAUAUGAGUUGGACCAAAGACUCAUCUAAAUUGGUUAAACUUGUCUAAGCUCAGGUAUGGUAACCUUUGACAAAGGUAAUCUCAAACCAAACAACCCAUAUGUUCCUACAUGCUUGCAGCGACGUAGCAUCCAAUCUUGUAUUCAUUAGCCAUUUAAACAUAUAAGGCUGCUAGCUGACUUGCCUCCACGAAGCUCCUUCAAUUGGGGCUUCGUUGGCCGUCUGAUCUGCUUUCUAGAGCGUCUCAGCCAUGGGAUCUUCAUCUGUGGUCAAACUUGAUUUUACCUCGCAGUCGUUUUUGUAGGCCAAUGACGAGUGGGUUCGUCUCGCACGUUCUUUGGCAGGGUCACGCGUGCGAAUGUGCUGAAGGAUUUUUCCAUUGACUCCUUGCGCACCGCUUGUGAGAUGUGCGUUCGCUAGGCGUGGGCCUGAACCCUAGCCCCCCAAUCCACAACCGCCACACCCUCCCUCCUUCCCCCCCUCAAUCCCUCGUUCUCCUGUGUCAUGAAAACACAACUUCUUCCUAGGUAGUUUUAGUAAUUAAUAAUAACAUAUAUGUCACUGAACUAAUGAUUCUAUCAAGUAUAUUUCAGGAAAAGUUCAAUAAAUGGAUUGACUAAGGGUUAUGAGGAGAUCCCCUAGAUGCAAGGAACAUCUAUUAUCAACACGCUUCAAGACUACAUUUUGCAUUUUGUGAGAAAUUACACUUGAGUCCAUAGGAAAGUCAAUACUAUUAAAAGGGAAUGAUGUGUCUAUGAUGAUCCGGCUGCUCAACUGCUUAGAGAUUAGCCACCAAAAAUACUCAUAAAAUUCUUCGACAAAUAUUCUGUCCAAACCCCAAAAUCCAAAUUCGGGGCCACCAAUACUUUCCUACCGGCCACACCGAGUUUGAUCCUAGACAAAUCCUAUGCAAAACCCUAAGGAAUGAUGACACCGAUCUGGUAACUGCCUAGGCCAGCCAAAAUCGAACCCUCCGAGAUCUAUAUAUCGGUCCCACCGAAACGCCAAAAGUUGCCAUAUUUUGCUCUAGUCGAUGCAACCAAGUUUUUUUUACUUCGGUUUCACCGAGUUGGACAAUAAUGUUAUAACGUUUGGAUUUUUGGAGAUGCCUAUAUAUACCCCUCCACUCGCCUCUCAUUUGAAGAGGAAGCACUCAUAACGAACCAACACUUGCCCCAUCCAUUUUCUGAGAGAGAGCCACCUACUCAUGUGUUGAGAUCAAGAUAUUCCGUUCCUGCCAUAUGAAUCUUGAUUUCUAGCCCCCGCAAGUUGCUUUCCACCAAAUCAAUCUCUUCUACCCAAGUCAAAUCUAUGAGAGAGUGAUUGAGUGUUUAGGAGGCUAUCUUUUGAAGCACAAGAGCAAUGAGUUCAUCAUACUACCACAUCUAUUACCUUUUGGAGAGUGGUAUCUCCUAGAUUGGUUAGGUGUCGCUUGGGAGCUUCCGACUUCGUGUGGAGUUGAACCAAGAAGUUUAUCAUGACAAGGAGAUCUCCCACUUCGUGAAGAUCUACCCCGAGUGAGGCUAGUCCUUCGUGGACGUAAGCAUGAUGGAAUAGACAAGGUUGCUUCUCCGUGGACCCUUCGUGGGUGGAGAUCUCUGUGGACUCUCGCGGCUGUUACCCUCCGUGGGUUGAAGUCUCCAUUAACGUGGACGUACGAUAGCACCACCUAUCGGGACCACGCCAAAAAUCUCCGUGUCAACUUUGCAUUUGAUCUUCCUAUCCCCACCCUCUACUUACAUGUGCAUGUCCUUACUUUCCGCUGCUAUACUCUUAGACUUGCAUGUGUAGGGUGUGCUUGACUUGCUACAAUUGCUAAAACUUGACCACAACUAAAAUUGGGAAAAGGCUAAGUUUUUAUUUGGUCAAGUAGUCUAAUCACCCCCUUGUAGACAUACUUUGGAUCCUACAAGUGGUAUCAAAGCUUUGGUAUCCAUUGCAUUGGUUGCACAACCUAGGAGAGUAUGGCGUCUAGUGAGGGAAGUUAUCACCGUAGAGGUCCAUAUUUUGAUGAUACAAACUUUGCUAGUUGGAAGCAUAAAAUGAAAAUGCAUAUUCUUGGUCAUAACCCCGCAUUUGGGCUGUUGUUCGUGUUGGAUUUCAAGGUGAAUACUUUGGUGAUGGAAGGGAACUGUAUCAUGAAAUGACCUUGAAAAAAUUGAAGAUGUUGCAAUACAACGCUCAAGCAUGCGACAUUCUAUUCAACUGCCUAUGCCCCGAAUAGUUCGACAAGAUUACCCGUCUUGAGAAUGCUGAGAAAUUUGGGAUACUUUGGUUGAUAUGCAUGAAGGUAUCGAAUCUGUCAGGGAAUCUAAGUCAGAUGUGCUACAAAGUCAACUUGACAAGUUCAAGAUGAAGGAUGGUGAAGGAGUCGCUGAAAUGUACUCUAGGCUCGCUCUCAUCACAAAUGAGAUCGCUGGCUUAGGAAGCGAAGAGACGAGUGACAAAUUCAUCAUCAAGAAGAUCCUUAGAGACUUGGAUGGAAAGUACGACACCGUGUGCACAUUGAUCCAAAUGAUGCCAAACUACAAAGAUCUCAAGCCUACGGUACUCAUUGGAAGGGUUGUUGCUCAUGAAAUGUCACUCAAAGACAAAGAAGAGCUUCACAACAAGUCAAGGAGUGCAUACAAAGCUUCAAGUGACACCCCCGCUACCUCAAAUGACAACCUUGUUACCAAUGAAGAGAUAAGCCUCAUGGUCAAGAAUUUCAACAAGUUCUAUAAGAGUAGAUGCAAAGAGAGAAGCUCCAACUUAAGAUAUGAAGAGAAGCGUUCAUCUAGCCAUGACCGGAAUUGUUAUAAUUGUGGAAGUCCCGGACACUACUCAAAUGAGUGCACCCCCCCCCCCAAAGCACANNNNNNNNNNNNNNNNNNNNNNNNNNNNNNNNNNNNNNNNNNNNNNNNNNNNNNNNNNNNNNNNNNNNNNNNNNNNNNNNNNNNNNNNNNNNNNNNNNNNNNNNNNNNNNNNNNNNNNNNNNNNNNNNNNNNNNNNNNNNNNNNNNNNNNNNNNNNNNNNNNNNNNNNNNNNNNNNNNNNNNNNNNNNNNNNNNNNNNNNNNNNNNNNNNNNNNNNNNNNNNNNNNNNNNNNNNNNNNNNNNNNNNNNNNNNNNNNNNNNNNNNNNNNNNNNNNNNNNNNNNNNNNNNNNNNNNNNNNNNNNNNNNNNNNNNNNNNNCCCCCCCCCCAAAGCACAGAAGACUCACCUAGAAGAAGAAGCUCAAGAGACGAGUCACCUCGUAGAGAGAGAAGGAGUAGAGAACAUCGCUAUGAAUGAAUACCCCCCGGAGAAGCAAAGACUCAGAUAAGAAGGACAAGUACACCAAGAUCCACUCAAGAAGAAGACAUCAAGCUCAUGUUGGUGAAUGGCUAUUCGGCUCCGAAUCCGACAACCAAUCCGAGAGAAGCUACCACUCCAACUCCGACUAUAGUCAAGAUGAAGGUGUUGCCGGACUAGCACUCGUAUCCUCCAAUUUCUAUCACACAUUUUAUUCACCAAAUGAAGGAAGUGGAAUUUUCUUCAUGGCUAAAGGCCCCAAGGUAUCACACCCCGAAUACUUUGACUUUAAUAGUGACGAGGAUGACUUACAUGGAGAUGAUGACUUGCUCUUUGAUAAAACUAGUAAUGAACUUGAUUAUAAUCAUGCUAGUUAAGAUAAGUCGUAUGAUGAUGAUAAGAAGGAGAUUGGGUGUCUAAUUAAAGAAUUAAACACUCUUAAGUUAGGUCAUGAAUCUACUCCAGAAGAUCAUAAGGAGCUUGUAAGAACUCAUGAGAAGUUACGCUUCGAGAAGCUAAAUUUAGGGCAAGAGCACGAGUUUCUUAAAGCUAUCAAUGAAGAUCUUCGAAAGAAGAGUUAUUCUUAUCUAUCCAAAUGAUUCCUCUUGUGUACUUUUGUUCCACAAGUUAAAGGUAAGCAAACUUGUAACAAAGGCAAGAAAGGUUCUUCAGCCAGUACAACAACACUAAUGCUAAAUCCAAUGAUGUUGUUUCUAGUAGCUCUAUUGAUUCCACUACUGAUUCUCUUAGCCAAGUUACACUUGAGCAAGAAAAUGAUUUGUUGAAAGGAAUUAUAGAUAAAGGUGUCUAGUCUUGCUGGAAGUAAGAGAUUCAAGGAGAUUGUACGCAAGCAAGGACGACACCGAAAGAAACAAGGCAUUGGCUACUUCAAUGCCAAUGGAGUUGAAUGGGAAGAAGGUCAAUAUCCCAAGACAAAGUUUGUUCCCCAAAAGGGUAAGUAUCCUACUCUCCCCAAGGGAACAAACGCUCAAGAUGACCUUCCACCACAAGACCACAAGCUCAAGGGGAAGGGCAAGCUUCAAGAGGAGAUUGACUCAUUUGAAGAAUCCCAAGCCAUGGUUAAGUGGGCUCCAAAGGCCACACUAGCUCUACUUCAUCAAGCACUACUUCAACUCCAAUGAUACCAUCAAGUUGAUGUGGGUCCCCAAGAAGAAGAACUAGAAAAGUUCUUAACGGGUGACUCCGCUAACAAAAUUCACUCUCAUUAAUUUUUGGCAAGAACUAUUUGCAAUGAACUCCAACCUUAUGCAUUAGUUCAAGGAGUCACAUAUUCCCUCAAAGGUAAGCAAUGGACAAGGUAAUUAAUGUAUAGAAGGACAUAAUCUUAUAUGUUCUUCACCCCAUGUCCAUAGAUAUCCUUGUAUUUGUUCCUUGUGUGGGACUAACCCAUGUAGGUGAGAAGAGUACGGAACAACAAGGAUAGCUCCCAACUCAAGAUGAUCUUCAUCAUCUGUGAGCAUCCACCACUACAACACCUACAUGAAGUCUUCUACGACUAAACCCAGGGUUAGUUUGUCCCUCUUAGGGGGAAUGUCACAUCAAGGGUGUAACAUCCCGAAACCAAUGCUCCAGAAGAUUCCCUUUUUAUUUCGUUAUCGCCGUGUGAUUUAUUUGGUUGUCGCAUUCAUCAUCGCAUCAUGCGCAUCAUCCACAUUUCAUCGGCACUCCGUUGUUGUAAUUUUUCAAAACCUGCAUCAGUUCGUAGUUUUGGUCCUCUCCGUUUUUUUCGUUGACCGUUUGAGGACAACCACACACGCACGCGCCCGCGACAUUGUUAAAAUCUUGUUUUCAAAAGUGCGUACAAAAUGUUCGCGGAAUGGGUUGAAAAUUGGUGUGUGGUCUCAAUGUAGUGUAGUAGACCGCGUGCCAAAUUUCGUCUCAUUCGGAGCCCGUUUAAAAGCCCAACCGUUAAACCUAUAGCGACACUAUAGUCGGUCAAAUCGCAAACUUUUUCGUAUAUAAAAACUGAUGCCGGGCUGUCCGUUUUCCCUCUCAUCUCCACCAAGACCGUGUGCACAAGCACCGACCUUCUCGCAACCUUGUUCGAUAACCUCCUAGUACCCGAAACAUAUGGUCAUGACCGCUGGGUCCGGAUCAACCCCGUAAUACCCCAAAGCAUUAUCGGUUUUCUAAUUCGACCCCAUAACCUAUUUAACCUCGACCAUCCGAUUUAGAUCACAGGGACCAAAUAGCCCCUAUCCCAACCCACCUAUACUAUAUAUAUGCAACCACCUAGCCCAUUUUAGAUCAACCCUAAUUUCUAGUAGAGAUGUCCCAUCACCGCCGCUACUUCCCUACCCCUCCUCUGUUCCGUCGCCCCUAGCCAACUCGAUCCCAGCCAACCACCAACAGCCGAAGCUACCCCUUGUUUUUUGUGCCUGGCCAUCCCACAGCCGCCGAAACGCCUCCCCACCUGUCCUCCUGGACGCGUGUGCCGCAUGCAGGGAGCCCGAGGCUUCGUGUCUGCAUGACCGUAGCGCCCUACAUCCCGAGCGCCUUGCAAAACCGUGUCGAUCAGCAGCAACAGGUCAUCGUGCCCGUCGUCCUGUUCUUCCAUCGUGCCCGUCGUCCUCUUCUUCCAUCUCUCUCUUUUGUGUCUGUCCCGUAGGAGCCUUGUCCCUGAGCAGGAGCUCCCCCCUUCGAAUCCUCCUCGCGUCGCCGUUGUUGUCCGUCGCUAGGGCCAGACCUCGUCCGUGACUCCUCGCAUCUAGUGCCAACCCUGUCGAGACCCUUCCUGUGCCCGUUCCUAGCGCUCCCGCGUCAUAAACAAGUCGCCGCGCCGUCGGCCCGGCCAUCGCCUCCCCUGCAUCGUGCUCGUCUGGAUCAAGCGAGACGCAUCACCUUCAACCGCACGAAGGUGUUGACCGCCAGCCAUGCCAGACCGCGAGGCCUAGCUGCAUCCUUGGUAGGCGUGUCGUGCCUCCCACAUGGGCCGACCUCGAUCCAAGGCCCAGCCGUCGUCCGCCGUGGCCUCCCGCUCCGAGCGAGGCCCAAGGCCCGCUAUGGUGAGCAGCCUGCUGCUAUCCAUCGCCAUGUGUGCAGUUUAACUAUUUUGCGCUCUCCACUGUUGGCCCAAUACCGUAGUAGAUUCGUCCCGUUAGUUCUUUUCCUGUUCCGGCGAUUUAGUUAUUAUCAAGGGAAUUACCCUAAUUACAGAAACCCCCUAGACAUCAUACAUAUCGUAACUCUCCAACCGUGCAUCGCAUGUAAAAACUUUAUAUACGUAAAAUGUCCAGAAUUUUCUGUAGAUUAAUAAUAUCCAACUUUAAACCAUGUUAAAAAUAUUUAAAUUGCUGUUUUCAUGUAAUUUGUGUUAAUGCCAUAUUAAAACGGUUGAAUUCGCCCUANNNNNNNNNNNNNNNNNNNNNNNNNNNNNNNNNNNNNNNNNNNNNNNNNNNNNNNNNNNNNNNNNNNNNNNNNNNNNNNNNNNNNNNNNNNNNNNNNNNNUAACUUGGGCUAAGCCCGUAACUAAUCCUGCCCAUUGGGCCUCCUCCUUUGGUACGUAGUACCGGACAUAACAUCUCUCUCCGCCUGCGCAAACAGCUCGUCCUCGUGCUGGAAUUCUGGAUAGUGCUGACUGAAUUUGUCAUGCUGCUCCCAAGCCGCGUCGUCCUCUGGAAGGCCGUUGCGCGCGCGAGGGAGGUGGCGGCGCAGCUAGGGUUCUGGCUCCUCUGGGAGCCGGGCAAUAGAGUUAUGACUAUAUUGCUUAAUUCCAAAAGAGUUGUUUACAUCGGUUUAUAAAAUCUCGAUAACUUGGACUCUAAGGUAACUAAGAUAACUUGGACUCUAAGAUAACUUGACACUAAGAUAACUUGGGCUAAGCCCGUAACUAAUCCUGCCCAUCGGGCCUCCUCCUUUAGUACGUAGUACCGGUCAUAACAUCUCUCCCCGCCUGCGCAAACAACUCGUCCUCGAGCUGGAAAUCUAGAUAGUGCUGACUGAAUUCGUCACGUUGCUCCCAAGUCGCGUCGUCCUCUAGAAGGCUGUUGCGCACGCGAGGGAGGCGGCGGCGCAGCUAGGGUUCCUUNNN